AUUGAACGCUGGCGGCAGGCUUAACACAUGCAAGUCGAGCGGAGCGAGGGUGCUUGCACCUUAGCUUAGCGGCGGACGGGUGAGUAAUGCUUAGGAAUCUGCCUAUUAGUGGGGGACAACAUUCCGAAAGGAAUGCUAAUACCGCAUACGCCCUACGGGGGAAAGCAGGGGAUCUUCGGACCUUGCGCUAAUAGAUGAGCCUAAGUCGGAUUAGCUAGUUGGUGGGGUAAAGGCCUACCAAGGCGACGAUCUGUAGCGGGUCUGAGAGGAUGAUCCGCCACACUGGGACUGAGACACGGCCCAGACUCCUGCGGGAGGCAGCAGUGGGGAAUAUUGGACAGUGGGCGGAAGCCUGAUCCAGCCAUGCCGCGUGUGUGAAGAAGGCCUUUUGGUUGUAAAGCACUUUAAGCGAGGAGGAGGCUACUUAGAUUAAUACUCUAGGAUAGUGGACGUUACUCGCAGAAUAAGCACCGGCUAACUCUGUGCCAGCAGCCGCAGUAACAC
rnacentral:rRNA from 1 species